GCUGUAGAGAGAUGUAAAACAGUUGGAACUAAUCGGAAAACCUGGUUUAAAUCCCAAUCAUUGUUGUAUUCCCAUGGAAAAAGUGUUUUUCUUGCAAAUUUUUGCUCGAAAACAAACUUUUGGCAGAAUUUUUUUCACUCCUCGAAACUCUCCUUAGUCUUUUUGAAAGCUGAUUUUCCCGCGCGCCGGCUUCAACGAAUCAUAGACUUU